rnacentral:rRNA from 1 species
GACGUAGGGUGCGAGCGUUGUCCGGAUUUAUUGGGCGUAAAGAGCUCGUAGGCGGCUCGUCGCGUCGACCGUGAAAACUUGGGGCUUAACCCUAAGCUUGCGGUUGAUACGGGCGGGCUAGAGUUCGGUAGGGGAGACUGGAAUUCCUGGUGUAGCGGUGAAAUGCGCAGAUAUCAGGAGGAACACCGGUGGCGAAGGCGGGUCUCUGGGCCGAUACUGACGCUGAGGAGCGAAAGCGUGGGGAGCGAACAGG